AAAACGGCUGUUUUGAAUAUAUUUGAAUUUAACGGAGAAGGAGGAGGGCACCAGCAGCUGCAGACACUCUGUUAACAAACAUAGUUGGACAACUGGAACAGUGCAAACAAAAACACA
ensembl:ncRNA T10H10.7 ncRNA